rnacentral:rRNA from 1 species
AGAGUUUGAUCAUGGCUCAGAACGAACGCUGGCGGCGUGCUUAACACAUGCAAGUCGAGUGCGCGUCUGUAGCAAUACAGAUGGCGCACGGCGCACGGGUGCGUAACACGUGGGCAAUCUGCCCUUCGAUGGGGAAUAACUCCGGGAAACCGAAGCUAAUUCCGCAUAACAUUCCUUGGACUUCGGUUCGAGGAUUCAAAGCCGUAAGGCGUCGAAGGAGGAGCCCGCGCACGAUUAGCUAGUUGGUAGGGUAACGGCCUACCGAGGCUUUGAUCGUUAGCUGGUCUGAGAGGAUGGCCAGCCACACUGGAACUGAGACACGGUCCAGACUCCUACGGGAGGCAGCAGUGGGGAAUCUUGCACAAUGGGCGAAAGCCUGAUGCAGCGACGCCGCGUGGGGGAUGAAGCAUCUCGGUGUGUAAACCCCUUUCGACUGGGACGAAUGCCUCGCAAGAGGAGUGACGGUACCAGUAGAAGAAGCCCCGGCUAACUACGUGCCAGCAGCCGCGGUAAGACGUAGGGGGCCAGCGUUGUUCGGAAUUACUGGGUGUAAAGGGUUCGUAGGCGGUGUGGCAAGUUGGGAGUGAAAUCUCUGGGCUCAACCCAGAGGCUGCUUCCAAAACUGCCAUGCUUGAGUGUGGGAGAGGCGCGUGGAAUUGCAGGUGUAGCGGCGAAAUGCGUAGAUAUCUGCAGGAACACCCGUGGCGAAAGCGGCGCGCUGGACCACUACUGACGCUGAGGAACGAAAGCUAGGGGAGCAAACAGGAUUAGAUACCCUAGUAGUCC